rnacentral:rRNA from 1 species
UACGGGGGGGGCAAGCGUUGUUCGGAAUUACUGGGCGUAAAGGGCGCGUAGGCGGCAUGACAAGUCACUUGUGAAAUCUCCGGGCUUAACUCGGAACGGUCAAGUGAUACUGUCGCGCUAGAGUGCGGAAGGGGCAAUCAGAAUUCUUGGUGUAGCGGUGAAAUGCGUAGAUAUCAAGAGGAAUACCUGAGGUGAAGACGGGUUGCUAGGCCGACACUGACGCUGAUGCGCGAAAGCCAGGGGAGCGAACGGG